rnacentral:rRNA from 1 species
GCUUGCUCCUCUGACGUUAGCGGCGGACGGGUGAGUAACACGUGGAUAACCUACCUAUAAGACUGGGAUAACUUCGGGAAACCGGAGCUAAUACCGGAUAAUAUAUUGAACCGCAUGGUUCAAUAGUGAAAGACGGUUUUGCUGUCACUUAUAGAUGGAUCCGCGCCGCAUUAGCUAGUUGGUAAGGUAACGGCUUACCAAGGCAACGAUGCGUAGCCGACCUGAGAGGGUGAUCGGCCACACUGGAACUGAGACACGGUCCAGACUCCUACGGGAGGCAGCAGUAGGGAAUCUUCCGCAAUGGGCGAAAGCCUGACGGAGCAACGCCGCGUGAGUGAUGAAGGUCUUCGGAUCGUAAAACUCUGUUAUUAGGGAAGAACAAAUGUGUAAGUAACUAUGCACGUCUUGACGGUACCUAAUCAGAAAGCCACGGCUAACUACGUGCCAGCAGCCGCGGUAAUACGUAGGUGGCAAGCGUUAUCCGGAAUUAUUGGGCGUAAAGCGCGCGUAGGCGGUUUUUUAAGUCUGAUGUGAAAGCCCACGGCUCAACCGUGGAGGGUCAUUGGAAACUGGAAAACUUGAGUGCAGAAGAGGAAAGUGGAAUUCCAUGUGUAGCGGUGAAAUGCGCAGAGAUAUGGAGGAACACCAGUGGCGAAGGCGACUUUCUGGUCUGUAACUGACGCUGAUGUGCGAAAGCGUGGGGAUCAAA